GGCUUAGAGUUUGAUCCUGGCUCAGAUUGAACGCUGGCGGCAUGCCUUACACAUGCAAGUCGAACGGCAGCACGGAGCUUGCUCUGGUGGCGAGUGGCGAACGGGUGAGUAAUAUAUCGGAACGUACCCUGGAGUGGGGGAUAACGUAGCGAAAGUUACGCUAAUACCGCAUACGAUCUACGGAUGAAAGUGGGGGAUCGCAAGACCUCAUGCUCGUGGAGCGGCCGAUAUCUGAUUAGCUAGUUGGUAGGGUAAAAGCCUACCAAGGCAUCGAUCAGUAGCUGGUCUGAGAGGACGACCAGCCACACUGGAACUGAGAUACGGUCCAGACUCCUACGGGAGGCAGCAGUGGGGAAUUUUGGACAAUGGGCGAAAGCCUGAUCCAGCAAUGCCGCGUGAGUGAAGAAGGCUUUCGGGUUGUAAAGCUCUUUUGUCAGGGAAGAANCGGUGAGAGCUAAUAGU
rnacentral:rRNA from 1 species